rnacentral:rRNA from 1 species
UCGGGAAUUUUGGGCAAUGGGCGAAAGCCUGACCCAGCAACGCCGCGUGAAGGAUGAAGUAUUUCGGUAUGUAAACUUCGUAAGAAUAGGAAGAAUAAAUGACGGUACUAUUUGUAAGGUCCGGCUAACUACGUGCCAGCAGCCGCGGUAAUACGGAGGGUGCAAGCGUUGUUCGGAUUUACUGGGCGUAAAGCGCGUGUAGGCGGGUCGUUAAGUUGGGGGUGAAAUCCCGAGGCUCAACCUCGGAACUGCCUUCAAAACUGGCGACCUGGACCUAAGUAGAGGCAAGUGGAAUUGCGAGUGUAGAGGUGAAAUUCGUAGAUAUUCGCAGGAACACCAGUGGCGAAGGCGACUUGCUGGACUUAUGGUGACGCUGAGACGCGAAAGCGUGGGGAGCAAACAGGAUUAGAUACCCAAGUAGUCCCUGAGCGGGCUGGCAAGGCGCAU